GGAUGUGAAGGCGAUCUGGUUGUGACAUCUGUCACCCCACUGAUCACCAGGGUUGAUUCAGCUGAUCUGGCUGGCUAGGCGGGUGUCCUCCCUCCCACUGCUCC
rnacentral:snRNA from 14 species